UACGUAGGUGGCGAGCGUUGUCCGGAUUUACUGGGCGUAAAGAGCGCGCAGGCGGCUGGUCAAGUCCGAUGUGAAAGCUCCCGGCUUAACUGGGAAAUUGCAUCGGAAACUGAUCGGCUGGAAGGUGGGAGAGGGUAGCGGAAUUCCCGGUGUAGUGGUGAAAUGCGUAGAUAUAUGGAAGAACACCAAUAACGGCGAAGGCAGUUAACUAGUCUGUUACUGACAUUGAGGCACGAAAGCGUGGGGAGCAAAACGG
rnacentral:rRNA from 1 species